GAUGAACGCUAGCAGCAGGCUUAAUACAUGCAAGUCGAACGGGAUUCGGGGUAGCAAUACUUUGAUGAGAGUGGCGCACGGGUGCGUAACGCGUAUGCAACCUACCUUUAACAGGGGAAUAGCCCCGAGAAAUCGGGAUUAAUACUCCGUAACAUUGCGGUGUGGCAUCACACUGCACUUAAAGCUGAGGCGGUUAAAGAUGGGCAUGCGUGACAUUAGCUAGUUGGUGAGGUAACGGCUCACCAAGGCAACGAUGUCUAGGGGUCCUGAGAGGGUUAUCCCCCACACUGGUACUGAGACACGGACCAGACUCCUACGGGAGGCAGCAGUAAGGAAUAUUGGUCAAUGGGCGCAAGCCUGAACCAGCCAUGCCGCGUGCAGGAAGACGGCCCUAUGGGUUGUAAACUGCUUUUGUCAGGGAAUAAACCCCCGCUCGUGAGCGGGCUGAAGGUACCUGAAGAAUAAGCAUCGGCUAACUCCGUGCCAGC
rnacentral:rRNA from 1 species